rnacentral:rRNA from 1 species
AUUGAACGCUAGCGGGAUGCCUUACACAUGCAAGUCGAACGGAGUGGCGAACGGGUGAGUAAUGUAUCGGAAGGUGCCCAGUAGCGGGGGAUAACUACGCGACAGCGUAGCUAAUCCCGCAUACGAUUGGAGCGGCCGAUAUGGGAUUAGCUAGUUGGGUGGGUAACGGUUCACCAAGGCGACGAUCCGUAGCUGGUUUGAGAGGCUGACCAGCCACACUGGAACUGAGACACGGCCCAGACUCCUACGGGAGGCAGCAGUGGGGAAUUUUGGGCAAUGGGGGAAACCCUGAUGCAGCCAUCCCGCGUGUGCGAUGAAGGCCUUCGGGUUGUAAAGCACUGUUAGCAGGAAAGCGGUACCUGCAGAAUAAGCACCGGCUAACUACGUGCCAGCAGCCGCGGUAAUAC